rnacentral:rRNA from 1 species
AGUGGCGGACGGGUGAGUAACGCGUGGGUAACCUGCCUUGUACAGGGGGAUAACAGUUGGAAACGGCUGCUAAUACCGCAUAAGCGCACGGCAUCGCAUGAUGCAGUGUGAAAAACUCCGGUGGUAUAAGAUGGACCCGCGUUGGAUUAGCUAGUUGGUAAGGUAACGGCUUACCAAGGCGACGAUCAGUAGCCGGACUGAGAGGUUGAUCGGCCACAUUGGGACUGAGACACGGCCCAGACUCCUACGGGAGGCAGCAGUGGGGAAUAUUGCACAAUGGAGGAAACUCUGAUGCAGCGAUGCCGCGUGAGGGAAGAAGGUUUUAGGAUUGUAAACCUCUGUCUUCAGGGACGAAAAAAGACGGUACCUGAGGAGGAAGCUCCGGCUAACUACGUGCCAGCAGCCGCGGUAAUACGUAGGGAGCGAGCGUUGUCCGGAAUUACUGGGUGUAAAGGGAGCGUAGGCGGGAUCGCAAGUCAGAUGUGAAAACUAUGGGCUUAACCCAUAAACUGCAUUUGAAACUGUGGUUCUUGAGUGAAGUAGAGGUAAGCGGAAUUCCUAGUGUAGCGGUGAAAUGCGUAGAUAUUAGG